GACAUGGCAGGAAUCCCGAAGAGAUUGGGAGUGCUCGAAGAGAACCUGCACACAGGUGCUGCAUGGCUGUCGUCAGCUCGUGUCGUGAGAUGUUGGGUUAAGUCCCGCAACGAGCGCAACCCUUGCCAUUAGUUGCUACGAAAGGGCACUCUAAUGGGACUGCCGGUGACAAACCGGAGGAAGGUGGGGAGUGACGUCAAGUCCUCAUGGCCCUUAUAGGUGGGGCUACACACGUCAUACAAUGGCCGGUACAGAGGGUAGCCAACCCGCGAGGGGGAGCCAAUCCCACAAAGCCGGUCGUAGUCCGGAUCGCAGUCUGCAACUCGACUGCGUGAAGUCGGAAUCGCUAGUAAUCGUGGAUCAGCAUGUCACGGUGAAUACGUUCCCGGGUCUU
rnacentral:rRNA from 1 species